CCCUUAGACGUUCUGGGCCGCACGCGCGCUACACUGACGAAGGCAACGAGCUUUCCUUUACCGAAAGGUACGGGUAAUCUUUUGAAACUUCGUCGUGCUGGGGAUAGAUCCUUGCAAUUUUUGAUCUUAAACGAGGAAUGCCUAGUAAGCGCAAGUCAUCAACUUGCGUUGAUUACGUCCCUGCCCUUUGUACACACCGCCCGUCGCUACUACCGAUUGAAUGGUUUAGUGAGGCCUUCGGAUCUGCGACUCGUUUGUGGAGAAGUUGGACAAACUCAGUCAUUUAGAGGAAGUAAAAGUCGUAACA
rnacentral:rRNA from 1 species